AUUGAACGCUGGCGGCAGGCCUAACACAUGCAAGUCGAGCGGAGCGGCGGACGGGUGCGUAAUACCUAUGAAUCUGCCUGGUAGUGGGGGCUAACGUCCGGAAACGGGCGCUAAUACCGCAUACUAUCAGAUGAGCCUCGGGCGGAUUAGCUAGUUGGUGGGGUAAAGGCCUACCAAGGCGACGAUCCGUAACUGGUCGGAGAGGAUGAUCAGUCACACUGGAACUGAGACACGGUCCAGACUCCUACGGGAGGCAGCAGUGGGGAAUAUUGGACAAUGGGGGAAAGCCUGAUCCAGCCAUGCCGCGUGUGUGAAGAAGGUCUUCGGGUUGUAAAGUACUUUAAGUUGGGAGGCGUUACCAGCAGAAUAAGCACCGGCUAACUACGUGCCAGCAGCCGCGGUAAUAC
rnacentral:rRNA from 1 species